rnacentral:rRNA from 1 species
UACGUAGGAGACGAGCGUUGUCCGGAAUCACUGGGCGUAAAGCGCGUGUAGGCGGAUGGGCAAGUCUGCUGUGAAAGCUCCUGGCUUAACCGGGAGUGGUCGGUGGAAACUGCCAAUCUGGAGGACGGUAGAGGUAGGUAGAAUUCCCGGUGUAGUGGUGAAAUGCGUAGAGAUCGGGAGGAAUACCUGUGGCGAAGGCGGCCUACUGGGCCGGACCUGACGCUGAGGAGCGAAAGCGUGGGGAGCGAACAGG